UUACGGCCACAUCAGGUUGAAACAUCAGUUCUCUAUACGAUCACGGAAGUUAAGCAACGUCGAGCCUGUUUAGUACCAAGAUGGAUAACCGCUUGGGAAUACCUGGUACUA